rnacentral:rRNA from 1 species
CUAAUAGCGUAUAUUAAAGUUGUUGCAGUUAAAAAGCUCGUAGUUGAAUUUCGGAAUCUGUCCGUCGGUCGGGCUUAACUGUCCGUACUGGUGUGACGGGUUCUUACCUUCUGAAUAACCAGCAUGCCAUUUAUUUGGUGCGUUGGGGAAGCAGGACUAUUACCUUGAAAAAAUUAGAGUGCUCAAAGCAGGCUAGUGCCUGAAUAUAUUAGCAUGGAAUAAUAAAAUAGGACGGCAUGGUUCUAUUUUGUUGGUUUCUAGGAUCACCGUAAUGAUUAAUAGGGAUAGUUGGGGGCAUUAGUAUUCAAUUGUCAGAGGUGAAAUUCUUGGAUUUAUUGAAGACUAACUUCUACGAAAGCAUUUGCCAAGGAUGUUUUCAUUAAUCAAGAACGAAAGUUAGGGGAUCGAAGACGAUCAGAUACCGUCGUAGUCUUAACCAUAAACUAUGCCGACUAGGGAUCGGACGAUGUUAAUUUUUUUAAUGACUCGUUCGGCGCCUUACG